rnacentral:rRNA from 1 species
AACGAACGCUGGCGGCAUGCCUAACACAUGCAAGUCGAACGAGACCUUCGGGUCUAGUGGCGCACGGGUGCGUAACGCGUGGGAACCUGCCCUUAGGUUCGGAAUAACUCCCCGAAAGGGGUGCUAAUACCGGAUAAUGUCUUCGGACCAAAGAUUUAUCGCCUUUGGAUGGGCCCGCGUUGGAUUAGCUAGUUGGUAGGGUAAAAGCCUACCAAGGCGACGAUCCAUAGCUGGUCUGAGAGGAUGAUCAGCCACACUGGGACUGAGACACAGCCCAGACUCCUACGGGAGGCAGCAGUGGGGAAUAUUGGACAAUGGGCGAAAGCCUGAUCCAGCAAUGCCGCGUGAGUGAUGAAGGCCUUAGGGUUGUAAAGCUCUUUUACCCGGGAUGAUAAUGGCAGUACCGGGAGAAUAAGCUCCGGCUAACUCCGUG